rnacentral:rRNA from 1 species
ACUACGGGGAGCUGCAGUGAGGAAUAUUGGUCAAUGGGCGCGAGCCUGAACCAGCCAAGUAGCGUGAAGGAUGACUGCCCUACGGGUUGUAAACUUCUUUUAUAAAGGAAUAAAGUGAGGCACGUGUGCCUUUUUGUAUGUAAGUUAUGUAUAAGGAUCGGCUAACUCCGUGCCAGCAGCCGCGGUAAUACGGAGGAUCCGAGCGUUAUCCGGAUUUAUUGGGUUUAAAGGGAGCGUAGAUGGGUUGUUAAGUCAGUUGUGAAAGUUUGCGGCUCGACCGUAAAAUUGCAAUUGAUACUGGCAGUCUUGAGUACAGUUGAGGUAGGCGGAAUUCGUUGUGUAGCGGUGAAAUGCUUAGAUAUCACGAAGAACUCCGAUUGCGAAGGCAGCUUACUAAACUGCCACUGACAUUGAUGCUCGAAAGUGUGGGUAUCAAACAGGAUUAGAUACCCCAGUAGUC